GUGGAUCCAGUUGAAUACUCACGUGGAGAAAUAUCAAAAUGUCUGUGUUUGUAGCCAGCACUUUCAGCCUGAGGAUUUCGAUAUGUACCUGAAGUCUCAACUGAUGAGGUUGCCAGGACAUCGAAAGUUUUAAAGUGAUGCUGUUCCAUAGAUUUUCCCAUUCACUUCAAAGAGGAAAGGUACCCGAUCAGCCAACAUCAGCACAGCAGAAAAGAAGUCGAGCUGAGAUAACGUAGCUAACUUUACCUAGCUAACUACGUUUGUUUAUCUAAACCAAAAUCUAACUAGCUAGCGUUCAUAAUACGCUGCCUAGACAUUCCAAAGUAAUGUAAUUAUCUAGCUGUUAUCUGGCAAAGUGAUUUGUAACUUUGCAAGCUAACAUUAGCUACAUUAGGCUACGUUAACUACAGCCUACCGGAUCGUAGCUAGCUAACUAACUGACUAACAGUACCGUAGAGGCUAACGUGACUAUGUGUUCGAUCCCAUCAACAUCUGCAGCGGCAUCAACAUCAAACUCAAACUCAGCACAAGGAACUAGUGAGACUUGCAGUACAAACACAUCUUCUGCAAGAGGUCGACGCAGUGGGUGGUGAAGAAAGUGUAUGAGCCCAGAACCCACCACUUCAGGGAGAGGCUUGUCCACCUGUCUGUGUAGUGCAG